AACGUACGCUGGCGGCACGCCUAACACAUGCAAGUCGAACGAAGUAGCAAUACUUAGUGGCAGACGGGUGAGUAACAUGUAGGUAUCUACCCUUUGGCCUGGAAUAACACGAGGAAACUUGUGCUAAUACCGGAUAAGUCUUUACGGAGAAAGCUUUAUGCACCAUUGGAUGAGCCUGCACUUGAUUAGUUUGUUGGUGGGGUAAUGGCCUACCAAGACUGUGAUCAAUAGCUGAUUUGAGAGGAUGAUCAGCCACAUUGGGACUGAGACACGGCCCAAACUCCUACGGGAGGCAGCAGUGGGGAAUCUUGCACAAUGGAGGAAACUCUGAUGCAGCGAUGCCGCGUGAGUGAAGAAGGCCCUUGGGUUGUAAAGCUCUUUCGUCGGGGAAGAAAAUGACUGUACCCGAAUAAGAAGGUCCGGCUAACUUCGUGCCAGCAGCCGCGGUAAUACGAAGGGACCUAGCGUAGUUCGGAAUUACUGGGCUUAAAGAGUUCGUAGGUGGUUGAAAAAGUUGGUGGUGAAAUCCCAGAGCUUAACUCUGGAACUGCCAUCAAAACUUUUCAGCUAGAGUAUGAUAGAGGAAAGCAGAAUUUCUAGUGUAGAGGUGAAAUUCGUAGAUAUUAGAAAGAAUACCAAUUGCGAAGGCAGCUUUCUGGAUCAUUACUGACACUGAGGAACGAAAGCAUGGGUAGCGAAGAGGAUUAGAUACCCUCGUAGUCCAUGCCGUAAACGAUGUGUGUUAGACGUUGGAAAUUUAUUUUCAGUGUCGCAGCAAAAGCGAUAAACACACCGCCUGGGGAGUACGACCGCAAGGUUAAAACUCAAAUGAAUUGACGGGGACCCGCACAAGUAGUGGAGCAUGUGGUUUAAUUCGAAGAUACGCGCAGAACCUUACCAACACUUGACAUGUUCGUCGCGACUCUAAGAGAUUAGAGUUUUCGGUUCGGCCGGACGAAACACAGGUGCUGCAUGGCUGUCGUCAGCUCGUGUCGUGAGAUGUUGGGUUAAGUCCCGCAACGAGCGCAACCCUCACUUUUAGUUGCCAUCAUUAAGUUGGGCACUCUGAAAGAACUGCCAGUGAUAAGCUGGAGGAAGGUGGGGAUGACGUCAAGUCCUCAUGGCCCUUACGUGUUGGGCUACACACGUGCUACAAUGGUAUCUACAACAGGAAGCAAGACUGCGAAGUUAAGCAAAUCCCUAAAAGAUACCUCAGUUCGGAUUGCACUCUGCAACUCGAGUGCAUGAAGCUGGAAUUACUAGUAAUCGUGGAUCAGCGUGCCACGGUGAAUGCGUUCCCGGGUCU
rnacentral:rRNA from 1 species